GAAACAUCUUAGUACCCGGAGGAAGAGAAAGAAAAUUCGAUUCCCUUAGUAGCGGCGAGCGAAACGGGAAGAGCCCAAACCAACAAGCUUGCUUGUUGGGGUUGUAGGACACUCUAUACGGAGUUACAAAGGACGACAUUAGACGAAUCAUCUGGAAAGAUGAAUCAAAGAAGGUAAUAAUCCUGUAGUCGAAAAUGUUGUCUCUCUUGAGUGGAUCCUGAGUACGACGGAGCACGUGAAAUUCCGUCGGAAUCUGGGAGGACCAUCUCCUAAGGCUAAAUACUCUCUAGUGACCGAUAGUGAACCAGUACCGUGAGGGAAAGGUGAAAAGCACCCCGGAAGGGGAGUGAAAUAGAACCUGAAACCGUGUGCUUACAAGUAGUCAGAGCCCGUUAAUGGGUGAUGGCGUGCCUUUUGUAGAAUGAACCGGCGAGUUACGAUUUGAUGCAAGGUUAAGCAGUAAAUGUGGAGCCGUAGCGAAAGCGAGUCUGAAUAGGGCGUUUAGUAUUUGGUCGUAGACCCGAAACCAGGUGAUCUACCCUUGGUCAGGUUGAAGUUCAGGUAACACUGAAUGGAGGACCGAACCGACUUACGUUGAAAAGUGAGCGGAUGAACUGAGGGUAGCGGAGAAAUUCCAAUCGAACCUGGAGAUAGCUGGUUCUCUCCGAAAUAGCUUUAGGGCUAGCCUCAAGUGAUGAUUAUUGGAGGUAGAGCACUGUUUGGACGAGGGGCCCCUCUCGGGUUACCGAAUUCAGACAAACUCCGAAUGCCAAUUAAUUUAACUUGGGAGUCAGAACAUGGGUGAUAAGGUCCGUGUUCGAAAGGGAAACAGCCCAGACCACCAGCUAAGGUCCCAAAAUAUAUGUUAAGUGGAAAAGGAUGUGGCGUUGCCCAGACAACUAGGAUGUUGGCUUAGAAGCAGCCAUCAUUUAAAGAGUGCGUAAUAGCUCACUAGUCGAGUGACACUGCGCCGAAAAUGUACCGGGGCUAAACAUAUUACCGAAGCUGUGGAUUGUCCUUUGGACAAUGGUAGGAGAGCGUUCUAAGGGCGUUGAAGCAUGAUCGUAAGGACAUGUGGAGCGCUUAGAAGUGAGAAUGCCGGUGUGAGUAGCGAAAGACGGGUGAGAAUCCCGUCCACCGAUUGACUAAGGUUUCCAGAGGAAGGCUCGUCCGCUCUGGGUUAGUCGGGUCCUAAGCUGAGGCCGACAGGCGUAGGCGAUGGAUAACAGGUUGAUAUUCCUGUACCACCUAUAAUCGUUUUAAUCGAUGGGGGGACGCAGUAGGAUAGGCGAAGCGUGCGAUUGGAUUGCACGUCUAAGCAGUAAGGCUGAGUAUUAGGCAAAUCCGGUACUCGUUAAGGCUGAGCUGUGAUGGGGAGAAGACAUUGAGUCUUCGAGUCGUUGAUUUCACACUGCCGAGAAAAGCCUCUAGAUAGAAAAUAGGUGCCCGUACCGCAAACCGACACAGGUAGUCAAGAUGAGAAUUCUAAGGUGAGCGAGCGAACUCUCGUUAAGGAACUCGGCAAAAUGACCCCGUAACUUCGGGAGAAGGGGUGCUCUUUAGGGUUAACGCCCAGAAGAGCCGCAGUGAAUAGGCCCAAGCGACUGUUUAUCAAAAACACAGGUCUCUGCUAAACCGUAAGGUGAUGUAUAGGGGCUGACGCCUGCCCGGUGCUGGAAGGUUAAGAGGAGUGGUUAGCUUCUGCGAAGCUACGAAUCGAAGCCCCAGUAAACGGCGGCCGUAACUAUAACGGUCCUAAGGUAGCGAAAUUCCUUGUCGGGUAAGUUCCGACCCGCACGAAAGGCGUAACGAUUUGGGCACUGUCUCAACGAGAGACUCGGUGAAAUCAUAGUACCUGUGAAGAUGCAGGUUACCCGCGACAGGACGGAAAGACCCCGUGGAGCUUUACUGUAGCCUGAUAUUGAAAUUCGGCACAGCUUGUACAGGAUAGGUAGGAGCCUUUGAAACGUGAGCGCUAGCUUACGUGGAGGCGCUGGUGGGAUACUACCCUAGCUGUGUUGGCUUUCUAACCCGCACCACUUAUCGUGGUGGGAGACAGUGUCAGGCGGGCAGUUUGACUGGGGCGGUCGCCUCCUAAAAGGUAACGGAGGCGCUCAAAGGUUCCCUCAGAAUGGUUGGAAAUCAUUCAUAGAGUGUAAAGGCAUAAGGGAGCUUGACUGCGAGACCUACAAGUCGAGCAGGGUCGAAAGACGGACUUAGUGAUCCGGUGGUUCCGCAUGGAAGGGCCAUCGCUCAACGGAUAAAAGCUACCCCGGGGAUAACAGGCUUAUCUCCCCCAAGAGUUCACAUCGACGGGGAGGUUUGGCACCUCGAUGUCGGCUCAUCGCAUCCUGGGGCUGUAGUCGGUCCCAAGGGUUGGGCUGUUCGCCCAUUAAAGCGGUACGCGAGCUGGGUUCAGAACGUCGUGAGACAGUUCGGUCCCUAUCCGUCGUGGGCGUAGGAAAUUUGAGAGGAGCUGUCCUUAGUACGAGAGGACCGGGAUGGACAUACCUCUGGUGUACCAGUUGUCGUGCCAACGGCAUAGCUGGGUAGCUAUGUGUGGACGGGAUAAGUGCUGAAAGCAUCUAAGCAUGAAGCCCCCCUCAAGAUGAGAUUUCCCAACUUCGGUUAUAAGAUCCCUCAAAGAUGAUGAGGUUAAUAGGUUCGAGGUGGAAGCAUGGUGACAUGUGGAGCUGACGAAUACUAA
rnacentral:rRNA from 1 species